rnacentral:rRNA from 1 species
CUCCGCUAACGCGGAGCUAAUACCGCAUAUGUUCGCUCUUUCGGUAGGGCGAGUAAAGCAGUAAUGCGCUUGGGGAUGGGCCUGCGGCGGAUUAGCUAGUUGGUGGGGUAACGGCCUACCAAGCCGAUGAUCCGUAGGGGGCGUGAGAGCGUGGCCCCCCACACUGGCACUGAGACACGGGCCAGACUCCUACGGGAGGCAGCAGUGAGGAAUAUUGCACAAUGGGCGCAAGCCUGAUGCAGCAACGCCGCGUGAGGGACGAAGGCCUUCGGGUUGUAAACCUCUUUUCUGAGGGACGAGGAAGGACGGUACCUCAGGAAUAAGUCUCGGCUAACUACGUGCCAGCAGCCGCGGUAAAACGUAGGAGGCGAGCGUUAUCCGGAUUUACUGGGCGUAAAGCGCGCGCAGGUGGCUUCGUGAGUCGGACAUGAAAGCUCCUGGCUUAACUGGGAGAGGCUGUUCGAUACUGCGGGGCUUGAGGUUGGGAGAGGGACGCGGAAUUCCCGGUGUAGUGGUGGAAUGCGUAGAUAUCGGGAGGAACACCAGUGGCGCAAGCGGCGUCCUGGCCCACACCUGACGCUGAGGUGCGAAAGCGUGGGUAGCAAACAGGAUUAGAUACCCUGGUAGUCCACGCUGUAAACGAUGUCAACUGGGUGUCGGUAGUUUUACACUAUCGGUGCCGAAGCUAACGCG